GCUCGCCGCGAGGGGCCGCCUUAGCCCCAGGCCCGCGCCACCUGUCCCACCUUGGGCGGCCGUGCAGCCCCAUGACCAACCCUCGCACGACAGAACGCGCCCCAGAUCUGUGCUCGCUUUAGCACAGACUAAAAGAAAAGUCCCAGGAGUGGUGGGACACAACGCGCGCACGCUGCCCUACCUGUCCGGCGACACAGAGCAGGCACCAGGUGCCACCAAGGAUGCGGGCCAGGAGUCCUAAGCGCUGGGACGCCGCUGGCCGGGCCAUGGUACCCCGGCGGGGGGGCGGAAUUCUCCCUCCCUGGACGCUGUAGCCGCCUCCUGCGCUGGCUGCGGAGCCUCUGCGGCGGCGGCCACGGGUUAACGGCGCGCGCGGGCGGUACACGGCUGUUUUGGUCCCGGCAGCGCGUCUCGUGCGUCGGCGCAGCCAGGGAGCCGAGCUGCUUCGAAUGCGAGCGCGUGUGCUGGGGGAAGAGUCGCAUGCUGCGCAUCUUCCACGUAUUUGGACUGCCACCCUGCCAGCCCCGGAGAGUGCAAGGCUGCGGAAAGCGGGACUGCGCUCGUGAACAGCGGGGACCUACGACAGCUAGGCAGCGACAGUGUGAACCUGGAGCCAGGGUCGCCCACAGGGAACCCAAGAUCUGAGUUUGGUGAGAAUGACUCCGCUGAUUGUCCUGUGCCAAGAGGACUCUGGGGAUACGCAAGGCCAUAUCUUUCUCUGCUUUGUGCCGUGCUCUUAUUAAUUACACUUGAGACUUUCAGGUUUUCUCUGUAACAGUAAAUAAAUAUCGCGUCUUGUUGCGUUCUUUGCCUUUGGGAGUCAGCCUCCAUU
rnacentral:lncRNA from 1 species